CUUCACUGCAAACUUUCCUAUCGAUUCACCGGCAAUUUGCAGGAAGUUGGCUGCCGCAUGUUCCCCAACCCCUGGGAGUCGGAGCAGGAGGAAAAGCAGCUGGGAAACCUGCUGGGAACUACGGAAUCGGUGGUUUUCUGUACGGUGCUCAGCCCCUCGGAAUAGGGACUGAUGGGGAAUCUGCAAAAUAUGGUAUGUGUAUCUGUUCCAGGACUCUCGGUCUCUCUCUAGAUGCGCACAGCUUCCGUCGCUGUCUUUCUGUCACUUCCGCUUUACGGUGACCCCCCCGCGUCCUGUGUCACUCUUAGGAAAUAGUGGCUCCCCAUAUGGAGCUCAACCGCUCCCUUCU
rnacentral:lncRNA from 1 species